rfam:Ricinus communis cultivar Hale ctg_1100012288354, whole genome shotgun sequence.
UAUCCAUGGUAUGGGCAUUGUAAUAAAAGUGAUUUAAAGCGAUCCCAUGCUUCAUAAAAAGAUUCAGCAUCCUUUUUGAUAAAAAUUAGAAAUUUUAGCUCUUACUUC